CAUGCGCCCUUAGUUAUUGCCACCAUAACAAUAAUGCUCGCUGCUCUAACGUGCGGGCGUACGCAUAUGGGCGGCUAUGAUGAACGCCGUGCAAAUCAAUUCCAUGGAAACAAAGGUGGGGAUGGAGGAAAAAGUUGGUUUGACUACUUUUUUACCAGCUUGAGAUUCUUGUUUUUACUAUAUAAUGAUGAGUUGGUGAGACCGCUGCCCUGCUCUUCCUGCAAGCAGAGCCAGUGAUGAUUUUGCUGCUUCUUGUCAUCUUGUUACUUGUGCAUGUGCUUUUGUACCCAGGUUUGACUACUUGUAUUUUCAGCUUGAGAUUCUUGUUAUUACUAUUUUAUGAUUGAUUGUGUGGUACUCUGGUGGUUAAAAUUACUAUUUGUUACGGUAGAGGAAUCACUAGAAUCUUUAGGUCAAACGUCAAAGUUGCGUUUAUGAGAGACUUACAGUGAGUUGUAGCUGAACAUGGAGCAAGUAUAAUUAAAGCUGCAAUAUAUUUCCUGUUUGGAAAUAAAUA